UACGUAGGGUCCAAGCGUUGUCCGGAAUUAUUGGGCGUAAAGAGCUCGUAGGCGGUUUGUCGCGUCUGCUGUGAGAACUCGGGGCUUAACCCCGGGCCUGCAGUGGGUACGGGCAGACUAGAGUGCGGUAGGGGAGACUGGAAUUCCUGGUGUAGCGGUGAAAUGCGCAGAUAUCAGGAGGAACACCGGUGGCGAAGGCGGGUCUCUGGGCCGUAACUGACGCUGAGGAGCGAAAGCGUGGGGAGCGAACAGG
rnacentral:rRNA from 1 species